rnacentral:lncRNA from 1 species
CUUAGUGUACCUAGUGUACUUAAUAUAACACUUAGUGUAUUUAGUGUUUCAGUUUAGUGUAGAGAGGCUUCUUUCUUCCUCUUCUGGAGGAGUCACUGGUUAGAGACGAAUUCCGUGGUUAGAGCGUACUUGGUCUUUAGAAGACGACUUUGGUGUCCAUUGCCAACCGCAUCCGAGAUCGCAACCCUGUUCCCUGUCAGUCCCAGCUCAUCAGCAAAGGGCUCGGUGGCUCUCUCCAGAGGAGACUGGACGAGGUUGUCAAAGCGGCUGGAUCAAAAGUGUUGCCAUGUCGGAUGGAGCGGUGUCCACGAUGAACCUGAGCAUGGAGAUUUCUCCCUCUGCGCUGAAGAUCUCACUGUGCAUGUCCAGCCCUGGAUCGUGGUGGACUCUGGUGGCCACUGGAGUCCUUGGAGCUGCCUCCCUCUGGCUCUGCUGGGGCUGGAUUCGAGAGUCGAGGUCACCCCCAGCAGGAACAACUGGGGCCACUGGAGGAUCCCCAAGGACACAACUUGCCGUUUUCAUGCAGGAAGAAUCUGAAUCGUUUCCAUCCAGUUUCCCCGGCAUGCAGCAGAAUACAACACAAGGGGCUGCAGUCUUCUCUGACUCUUAGGACCCUUACAAGAUCCUGUUCUGUCCAAAUCAGGGUGAUUUGCACAAGCAUCCUCAGGGCUCUGGACCUUAGUUUCUUUCCCUGGUUGAUUGAUUGAUCAUAUAGAUGUCCUGACUCACAUAGCUGAAAAUCAGAUGUGGUGAAAGUGCACUGAGACCAGAAACAAUGUUAUCAUCUUCAAAUGC